UCGUCCUGAAUGCACACCCUUCUUUCUUUGAGCAAGAGGACAAACCUGGGUAGGGAUCUCUGUGAUCUUUUCUGCGUUGCCUGAGGACGUUCAUCUUUCUGAUUUGUUAGCUGAAGAUGAGGAUCUGGAGCAGGAGUUCGGAGUGCCAUUGUUCCACGGGCAGAAGUUCGGCAGAGACUGUUAAGCUUGCCUGGCCCAAGCCACAGAGUCCUGGGAAGGAUGGAAGAGAGAGGAAGGGAGAGCACCGACGUCAUGGACCACCUUUCACAUCAGUGGCAGCAGCAGUAAAAUCCCCAGAAAGCCUGGAGUGGGCGUGAGGGUCUCUUUAGAUCAGCCCUGGAGGCAGCCGCCCAUGUCCCUCCUGGACAUUUGUUCACCUUCACAGAACCCACUUCUUUCCCGUGGUCUGUUCGGAUGUCUGUUUCCUGCACCAGGCAGGUAGCACAGCACACUCAGGGGUUUCUCUGACUCACCUUGGUAGCCCCAGCCCUCAGCACACUGCCUACCACUUAGUAUUUAGAGGACGUAUGCUCUUUGAAAAAAGUAGGUAAAUGGUAAAAUAUUAUUUUUACCAUUGGAACAAACACAAAUAUAUGCUUGAUGACAUUCAAACAGUACAAAUGCAAGAAAAAAAAGGCUUGUUAGGUGCAAAUAUUGGAAGAAAAGAGCUUGGGGUCAGAAGUGACCCCAGACAGAUGUGCUGGGAAAGAAGGGCUUUGCAGGGACCUCAGUGGCACAUAGGACCUAGACCCAGAGAUGGGGCCUUCUUGACAGGACGCCUCUGUCCGAGGGCAUUGGUUUUGCUCAUGUCUCUGUAACAUAUUUUAAAAAGGAUGCAAAGAAACCCCAACUUUUCUGGAAAAAGUGGAAAAAUAAUGAAGAGUGGUUGACCAGAAGGCUUAGGGCACUGGGCUGUGUUGCUGGAGAGUAAGAACCACUUGCCCUGCUACAAACCAAACUGGCUUUGAUCGUCUGCCCUUCUCUGUAGAGGACUGAGGAAGAGGAAAUAAGAAUUACAUGAAGAGCUUCCUAGCGAGCUUCCGGAAGAAAAUCUUAGUCCCCUACCCUGGGGAAUUUCGCCAAACAAGGGCAGAAAGUGGAUAAACAACAGGACGGUAGAGUAUCCCUUAUUCAUGGUGCUCGGGACCAGAAGAGUUUUGGAUUAUGGAUUUUUUGGAACAUUUCAGAUUUUCACAGCUUCAGGUACAGGGACGGGUUGAUGACAACCCCGCUCUGUCCCGUGAUUUGUGACAGACAUCUGUUUUCUUCCUUAUUCCAAUUGUAUCAUCUUGGAUUUUGGAAUAUUUGGAUUAUACUUAUCAGUUGAGCAUCACAAAUUCGAAAAUCCAAAAUCUGAAAUGCUCCAAAUAAGGAUUUCCUUUCAGCAUCAUGCUGGUGUUCAACAAGUUUGAAAUUUUGGAGCAUUUCAGAUGUCAGAUUUUCAGACUUGGGGUGCUCAACCUGUACAGGUUAUUCAGGCUCCUGAAUUCUGUGAUUGCUUUUUUUUUCUAGAGCAAAGUUCCAUAAAGAGCAGAUGGAGAAGUGUUGAUUAGCGAUCAAUUUCUUAGUUGAUAUUUAUCAGACACUUAACUCUGUGUCAGGUAUUGUUCUAAGGGCUUGUAAAAGCAUCAACUCAAUUUAUCCAGGCCUCAUACUGCCUACUCCAGCACGCACUGUUAUAUUAUUAGCUCAUUUUAUAGAUGAGGAGCCUGAGGAAUAGCAGUGUUGAAUCACUUGCCUGACAUUGUGUUUCUUGGGUACAAUUGUAGGUAUUAGACAGGGUUCUGAAACAGGGCAAGGAUGCAGUUGAAAUAAAGAAAGAAACAGAUGCCCGUCACAAGUCACUGGAUAGAGCUGAGCUUCUGUCAACACAACUUAAGUGUGUGCAUCUGGUACCUGUCAAGUUAGAGAAAUUGGUUGUUGUGCAACACGACCCCAUAAUCAAAAUAUUGUAUCAGAGUCCCUACUGGUAGCAGAUAUACAAACUUCUCUUGUCUCUUGUUCAAGAUGAAUUGUCUCCUAGCUUAUUCGAUUCAGUUUAGAGAUCAUGUGGUUCCAUGGACAGUCUCUGUUGGUGUUUCUUCUGGGGAAGUGCCUGCCUUGGUCCUGGACUUGAUACCACUAAAGCUGAUAAUGAGAACUGAGUAGGGUUCUAUUAGGUGAGAGCAAGGGUUCAGAUGGGAGCAUGCUAGGAAGCCCCCAUCUCUUCCAACACUUGCCUCAUCCAGCCUCAGCUGGAGUUGCAGAUGCACCUGCUGAUGCCACUCAAGCACCACCAGGUGUGGCCUGCAAGGCCCUGUCAGGGUUGGCUCUCGUUCCUGUCUUGCCAUCAUCGUCACACAGCCAUGCCCUGUGUUCAUCUGGCAGUGGCAGGCUGGCUGCAUUUCCAGGCUCAGCUAUGUCUCCUUUUGCCUCAUAGCCUCUGCGUGCAUGUGCUCCUGCCUGGAAUUUUCUUGCCCUGGUUAUUCCUGUGGCUGGCUCCCUGCCAUCCUCCGCUCUAUUCAGGUGUCACCUUCCUAGAGGUGCCUUUCCUUACAGCCCCUGAGUGAUGGCCUUUCCUCCCCAAGUCACACUCUACAUUUGCUUUAUUUUCUUCUUACCUUUUAUUGCAAUUUGAAAUUGUCAAGUUCACUGAUUUACUUGUUUAUGGUUUGUCACCUUUCACUAAAAUGUAGGCUCCAUGAAGGCAGAGCCUUACCUCUCCUAUUUACUGGUCUAUCUUCAAGCCCAGGAAUGGUAUUUUAUCAAUAAAUAUUUAAUGAAUUGA